AGGAUGAACGCUGGCGGCGUGCCUCAAACAUGCAAGUCGAGCGAGGCUAUGAAUUACCGCAAGGUAAGGCAUAGCCUAGCGGCGAACGGGUGAGUAACACGUGGGUAACCUACCUGGAAGACAGGGAUAACGAUUCGAAAGGGUCGCUAAUACCUGAUAAUAUCCAUCUGCCGGAUGGCGGAGGGAAGAAAGGGGAAACCCGCUUUCAGAUGGGCCCGCGUCCCAUCAGCUAGUUGGUAAGGUAAAGGCUUACCAAGGCGACGACGGGUAGCCGGUCUGAGAGGAUGUACGGCCACACUGGGACUGAGAUACGGCCCAGACUCCUACGGGAGGCAGCAGUUGGGAAUCUUAGGCAAUGGACGAAAGUCUGACCUAGCGACGCCGCGUGAGGGAAGAAGGCCUUCGGGUUGUAAACCUCUGUCAUGGGGAAGAAGGAAGUGACGGUACCCCAAGAGGAAGCCCCUGCUAACUACGUG
rnacentral:rRNA from 1 species